rnacentral:rRNA from 1 species
UACGGAGGGUGCAAGCGUUAAUCGGAAUUACUGGGCGUAAAGCGCGCGUAGGCGGUUUGUUAAGUCGGAUGUGAAAGCCCUGGGCUCAACCUGGGAACUGCAUACGAUACUGGCAAGCUAGAGUGCAAUAGAGGGGGGUAGAAUUCCAGGUGUAGCGGUGAAAUGCGUAGAUAUCUGGAGGAAUACCGGUGGCGAAGGCGGCCCCCUGGAUUGACACUGACGCUGAGGUGCGAAAGCGUGGGUAGCAAAC